rnacentral:lncRNA from 1 species
AUGUGUUUUCCAAGGAUCAGCCCUUGGAAACGUCCAAAGGGACUGACAACUUGGAUUGCUAGGGAAGACUCCUUGGCGUGUGUCGUGCCCCCUUCUUCGCCGUGUAGUCCGCCCGAACCCCGAGCUCCGCCAGCACCGCUCAGCUGGGAGAGGUUUGCUGGGAAGCAGAGCUUUCGGGAGCGUCCCGAGGAGCGCGGCCGAGCCCUCAAGGUUUCCAGACCAGAGAGGGAAACUUGUCGGCGCCCUGUAAUCACCACCAUCUGGUUUCUCCUCUGCAGCCGCCGGACGGCGGGCCCCUGGGUGCGGCCAGGGUCGAGGCGGCCGCCGAGCGGCCAGCGUUGUUCCGCAGCUGUUGCUCCCGGCGCCCCCGGACCUGGGGGGUGUAGGGCGCACGGAUUGCAGCUCACGUCAGGAGCAGCGAGGGACCCGACGCCCGCGUCAGUCCCGAGGCCCAAGCAGACCCCCGCGGUCGGCGUCCUCGCCGCGGAGCCCCCCUCUCGGCUCGGCUCGGCUCGGCUCGGCGCCACGGCCAGAGCGCGCCCCCUAGCGGGGGUCUCCGGGUGGGCCGGGCCCUUCCCCGCAGCCUCUGGGCGCUGAAGUUGGCAGAUCCCAGUGAUACUGCAGGAAUGAAUGGGGGAAGAAAACAAAAGCCUUGGAAACAUUUCCAAGUGUGCAAUAAAAGACCCAUCUGUACCUUUCUUCUCCAGCGCGUUCGUGGUUAAAUGCCCCCCCCAUACGCGCGAGAGGGGAGAUAAUUGCUGGGUGGAUUCUUGCUGGAGAACCUCAGGAAACACUGGCCCGAGAAGUGGAAUAAUUGGGGGUGGGGCGAGGCGAGCGUGCAGAGGCUGCCACACCAGCCUGAGAUCUGAUUCCGCUGUCUCUGGGGUGUUUGUGCAUGGAGUCCUGGCCGCCUGCGCCAAAAGGUUCCUCAGUCCCAAGUGAGGGGUCAUCUGAAGGUAGCGCCUCUAAGAUUUCUUUUCUUUGCAGUGGUCUCUGUGGCACCCCCCCCAUUCUGGCUCUGAGAUCCCUUCCCACCUUAUGACACUAGAAUACCCCACCUUCGGAGUCUAGGAUUCUCCAGUGUUUGCCUCAAUGAUUCCCACACCUUCUGAGUCCAGUUCCCCCACCUCUGACUUGAGGGCCCUACUUUGUCACUCUCCGGCAAUCUGGCCAUGGCCUGCUCCACCUCCCCCAGGUAGUACCUCCCUCCAGCAGCAUCUGCCUCUGGAAAUUGGCAACCCCAGAGUCCACCACUCUCCACUGCUCACAAAUCACCUACCCCCACUUGGGCUGGCCAGGAAACAGAACAGAGGAAGGCAAGGUUCCUGUCCAUCCCCCUUGGAGUUGUUCAACCUAGAAAUGAUGAGCUCUGUGGAAGCUCUUAGAGCCUCUGGUGGAAAGUAUACUAACGAGGACUUUACACAGAUGAAAAACUAUCAGUUCAAAUCAAUCCAUAGCUUAUUUCUUUUGCACUAGUGUGUUAAGCCUCGCUCAUCAAUCAGAACAACACAAAUCGAGCUUCUCCAGACGUGCAGCGUCUGCAUACUCACGUUCUCAGCCCUGCAGGAUUUUAAGGUCUUGCGAAGGCCAUGAAAACAUUUAAUAGGUAAGGCCUAGGAAAGCGGGUCCAAAAAUAGGAGUGAUAAUGGCUCUUUAGAGUCUCUUGUUUUGUGAUGUGCCUCACUAAUUGGGAAGUUCAACACGAGGCUUUCCCUGCCCAGAAAAGGCUGGUGUUUCAGAGUGGGGGGAGCAGAUGGAAGGGGUCCUGUGGGAAGGGAGACGUGGGUGUCCCCGGGUUUAAUUGAGAGUUGCAUUGUGUUGAAGGGAGGAGGGAAGAUGCCAAGGCUGAGCAGCGUUCUGUUCCCUUCGUCACAAAAUAACCUGCAAGUAAAAAAAAAAAAAAAAAAAAAAAAAAAAAAAAAAAGCCCGCGACUAAGAGCCGGCUCUGCAAUAGAUACCGUUAGAAGCACAGGGCCUCUGGAAUAAAGCUAUCUAAUUUCCUGCCGCAAAUCACUUACCCGAUCAGAAAACACAAAUAGCUGAACAGAAGGGGAAAAAAUAGAGGAGGAGGACGAGGACGAGGAAGAAAGGCCCCGGAAUAAAAAUAACUGCGCAAAAGGGCUCGCAUUCCACGCGCUGACAGGCGUCUCCUCCAAAUCUGGGGCAGUCGCGUCCUCCCCCCUGCGGCCCCCCUCGUGCCCUCGGACUUUCC